UACGGAGGGAGCUAGCGUUAUUCGGAAUUACUGGGCGUAAAGCGCACGUAGGCGGCUUUGUAAGUUAGAGGUGAAAGCCUGGAGCUCAACUCCAGAAUUGCCUUUAAGACUGCAUCGCUUGAAUCCAGGAGAGGUGAGUGGAAUUCCGAGUGUAGAGGUGAAAUUCGUAGAUAUUCGGAAGAACACCAGUGGCGAAGGCGGCUCACUGGACUGGUAUUGACGCUGAGAUGCGAAAGCGUGGGGAGCAAACAGG
rnacentral:rRNA from 1 species